GGAGUCUGGGCCGUGUCUCAGUCCCAAUGUGGCCGUUCAUCCUCUCAGACCGGCUACUGAUCGUUGCCUUGGUGAGCCGUUACCUCACCAACCAGCUAAUCAGACGCAGGCCCAUCCUUAGCCGAUAAAUCUUUGACUAAUCCGACAUGUGACAAAUCAGUAUUAUGAGGUUUUAAUCCCGGUUUCCCGAGGCUAUCCCUCUGCUAAGGGCAGGUUGCCUACGCGUUACUCACCCGUCCGCCGCUUUCCGCCUAAAAAAUCUACCGAAGCUUCAAUUUUAGGUUUCUCGCUCGACUUGCAUGUGUUAAGCACGCCGCCAGCGUUCAUC
rnacentral:rRNA from 1 species